rfam:Mustela putorius furo unplaced genomic scaffold scaffold00142, whole genome shotgun sequence.
CAGGUGCUGGACCUGCCGGCACCCCGGGUCCAGCUGCUCUGCUGCACCUGGGCCCUCGGGGCAAAGAGCAAGCGGCUAUUUCUACGCUCAGUGCUCAGAACCGUGAGCGCUAAGAAUGCUUUGUAGCCGGACAUGC